rnacentral:rRNA from 1 species
AACGAACGCUGGCGGCAUGCCUAACACAUGCAAGUCGAACGAAGCCUUCGGGCUUAGUGGCGCACGGGUGCGUAACGCGUGGGAAUCUGCCAUUGGUUUCGGACUAACAGUUAGACAUGACUGCUAAUACCGGCUGAUGUCUUUGGACCAAAGAUUUAUCGCCCAAGGAUGAGCCCGCGUAGGAUUAGGUAGUUGGUGGGGUAAUGGCCCACCAAGCCGACGAUCCUUAGCUGGUCUGAGAGGAUGAUCAGCCACACUGGGACUGAGACACGGCCCAGACUCCUACGGGAGGCAGCAGGGGGGAAUAUUGGACAAUGGGCGAAAGCCUGAUCCAGCAAUGCCGCGUGAGUGAUGAAGGCCUUCGGGUUGUAAAGCUCUUUUACCAGGGAUGAUAAUGACAGUACCUGGAGAAUAAGCUCCGGCUAACUCCGUGCCAGCCGCCGCUGUAACAC